GGAUUGUGGCUCAGCGGUAGAGCACUCGCCUAGCAUGUGUGAGGCCCAGGGUUCGAUCCUCAGCACCA
rnacentral:tRNA from 1 species